rnacentral:misc_RNA from 1 species
CUGUUACUGGGUGGAAUAUGUAUACCUCUUCAAAAUCAUUUAUCUGGUGUUUUUUGAGAGAAAAAUGAAGUUUAAUAGAGUUUAAUGGUUUUGAAAAAGGUUGUUUUUUUUUUUCUUGGAAAUACUGUGUAGGAGUUAUGUUGAUUGGAAGGAGAGCAUUUUAAGAAGUGAGAUAAAAAGUGUUUGUUUCUGUAGACUGGUGAUUGAAAUCAAAGAAAAUUGUGGAACCAGUCAUAGACUUGUGUUGCUAUUUUUAGACACAGACUCAGUGGCAGACUUUUUUUUUUAGUUACAAGUUGUUGACCCCAGGGUAAUAGUAGCCCAAUUUGGAUUUUCUUUGACAACAGGAAAAUACAUAUAUUUUUGUUUAUGCAUAAAUAUAUGAACUACAUAAAGUGCUUAAUGUUAAGUAGCAGGAAACGCAUUAAGUGGAGAUCAUUUAUAUGGAAUUCCAGCAAUUAUCAUUGAGAAAAGUAAUGUUUUCACAUUCAGUGUUACUUUUAUGCAAAAGAAGUUCAUUUGGAUGUAUAAAUGCAACUGCUUCAUAAUAUAUCUGUGUUAAAAUUGCUUUGGAAUUUAUUUUUUUUAAUCUGUGAUAUGUUUGGUUGCUUUGGAAUUUUUUUUUAGAUUCGUGUUAAGUUAAUUGCUUUGGAAGUAAUUAGAAGGCAAAUCAGUUUCAGCACAUACAAACAAACAAUUUUUAAGGGAGAGUUUCUUAAAAUAAGCUCAUUCAGGAUUCAGUUUCUAUGGAAAUGGUUCGGAAAAUUAUUGGGAGUUAUUGAAACAGCUGUUUUCUAGCUCAGCACCUCUUUGUUAUGUAAUUUGCAGACUCUGAAAAUUGGAAGAUCUAUUUUUUGCAGUGGAAGAUGCAUUUUGUGAAUUAGACGUCUUUGAAAUACAUCGCAGUAUCUGUUUUUAAUUUGAAUACAUAGGAGUGAAUUAAGUUUUGUGUUCAGAAGAGGAAUAUAUAAAGAUAAAUAUAUAUGCUGUUAUUUUAGUGCAAGCUUAAAUCCUUAAAGUUUCUUUUGUGACACACCUCUUGUCUUUGAAGAUUUAGAUGUUGAUAGUGUGUUAAGGUAACAAAAUGGAAAAUUACAGAAAACAAAACCUUAAGAACCACCCAAGUACUGAAUUUUCUGAUGAAUUUGUUGAUAUUGUGAAUGAAAUCAAUGAUUUCAUUUCUGUGUUGGAAGUACGUCAGAAAGAACUGGCGGCUAGCACACCAAAGUCCGAGCCCCAGGGGUCACUGCGUGGGUCACGGCAGGGCAGCAUUGAAAGACUGUCGGCACUGGAGUGUUAUAAAACUGAUUCUGGGGCAGAGUUUUUAAGUGAGUCUAGUCUUGGAGAUUCUAGGACAAAUUCUAAAUCUGAUUUUAGAAGUGAUUCUCAAAGUAAUUCUAGAGCCAGUUCUCUGUCUGAUUUAGGAAAAGCAUUUGAUGAGCCGCCUAGUGCUGUAGAGAAUCAUUAUGAGCCGAUAGCUAAUAUCUUCCCGGCCAGAGUUACCGCCACUGCAACAGCGACCGCCUCAGUUAUAGGCCCUUCUUCCACUCCUCCACAGUGUGCCACACCGCCCAUCGCAAAGCCAGAUCUUCCCCCUAAACCACCAGGUCUCCUCAGUAUGGGGGAGCCCGGGCAGGCCCCGCGGAGGGUGAAAGCCCUCCAUAACUUCAAGGGCACUAAUAAUGAUGAGCUUUGUUACUCAAAGGGCGACAUUAUAACUGUUACCCAGGCUAUAGAUGGUGGAUGGUGGGAAGGAACAUUGCACGGGAAAACUGGCUGGUUCCCGAGUAACUAUGUACGAGAAUUCAAACAAGAGUUGACUGGAAGCUUAAAGGGUGGGCCGGGAGCCAUUGUAACUGUGAACAAAACACAGGAAGUGCCAAAACACUUCAGGGAAAGUAUGCAAUAUUAUCAUAAUGUGGUUUUACAGAAUGUAAUAGAAACAGAAAGAGCUCAUGUUGCCGAGAUGACGUCUGUCCUUCAAAACUACAUACGUCCUAUAAUCAGCUCGGAAAUCAUGAGUUCGUCAGAGUUCUCCGACCUGACAGGCAAUCUAGAAGAUAUAAUUACAUUCCAGCAAAACUUUCUUGUCUCAUUAGAGGAGUGUUCCAAACAUCCAGCCCAUCAACGCAGAGUGGGUGGGGUAUUUAUGAGGCAUGCUCCAUCAUUGAAGGAAUUAUACACCCGGUACUGUGCUAAUCAUCCAAGGGCAGUUGCAAUACUACAGAAAAACAGAGAUGAAUUGAGUAAAUUAAUGGAAAAAUUAGGAGCCCAGUCACCCGGGGCUAUGACUUUGACCACCAUGUUGUCCAAACCAUUCACCAGAUUAGACAAGUACCCGAGUCUACUGAAAGAAUUGGAAAGACAUAUAGAGGAAAGUCACGUUGAUAGAGGUGAUACACAGAGGGCAAUAGCUGUAUAUAGAGAUAUUGCAAAUCACUGUAUGGAGAUUAGAAAGUUAAAGGAAAUGGAAUAUGAAAUAAUAUCCAGUACGAUCAAAGGCUGGGAAGGGGAGGAAAUCUCACACCUGGGAGAAAUAAAUCAUCUGUCUCAAGUUAAAAUAGAAACAUCAACCGGGGAGAAACUGGAUAGAAUAUUUAUACUGUUUCCCAAUGUUCUUCUGAUGUUGUCCAUAAGUCCUAGACUAAGUGGCUAUCAGUAUGAGGGAAAAUUACCACUGAGUGGUAUGAAAGUGAGUUUGUGUGAAACCGAGGAGUCAGAUGAUGUUUAUCAGUUUGAAAUAUCAGGUCCAAUGAUAGAGAAAAUGAUAGUCACAUGUGGAACAAGAGGAGAGGUGAACUCCUGGAUGGAAGCCUUGAAGAAUCAUGUUGUUCCAAACCAGUCAACACAAUCUAAACCAGUCAGUAUACAAGUCUCCACAUCACAGCCAAGUAUCAGCACCUUAACUCCCGCCAAAACCGCCAAAGUGAGUGUAACUCACACGAUAACCAGUCUCACCAUGAGUAAAACAUGGUCUAUGUCGUGUUUACGUCCUUCCCCACCCCUCCGACCACCAUUGUUAUAUAGAGAAGACGGUAUGAGAAGUCCCCGAGCAGGCAGAAAAUUGGGACGGAGAAAACCUGAGAGGACCCACUCCCAGGACGAGUAUGAUAAACGCUAUAAAAAGUAUGAUCCUAGGACAAAUUCAGAAGAUGCAUUGAUAUUGAAAGUUAUUGAGGCGUAUUGUACCAGCGCAAAAACACGGCAUACUGUCAACUCAUAUAAGUCACCAGAUAUAAUUGUGGAAAACACAGAAAACCAAAAUGACCAAGUGGAUUUGAAGAAGCUCCGCCUCUGCUCAGCUGACAGUGGAGUGGGCCAAUCACAGGAGCCACUGAGUUCACCAGAGUGGGAUGAGUUUCCAUUUGCAGAGACAGGAGGUGGGAUGAUCCAUGGAUUCUGCUGUGCUACUUUUCCUCUUGCUAAAGGACUAACAAAGACAUUGAAGAGACUUUAAAAUUUUAAUUUCAUCUGGUGAACUUACAUGAGCCUUUUUUGUAACAUUUGAUAUUUUUCAGCUAAUUUUUUUUCUCUAAAUUUAUAUGAUGCAGUGAUGUAAAAGAAGUCAGUGGCCUUGUUGAUAGUAUAGACAGAAUAAAGACAUCUACAAAUACAUGAAGCUUAAAGCUCCUAAUAUCAGUCUUCUUUUAAAGCGGAAAGAGUCUGUCUGCCUAAAAGAAUCUUAGAUAUUCCAUUUUUGCUUUUGCUCUAAAUGUUAACACACAGUCAGUAAAAUAGUUGACAAGAUUUAUAAUGUACAUAUUUUAUUUCUAAAAAUGCUUAAAAUGUGAAUUUUAUUUUUUUCCUUUUAUCGUAUGAAAAUUUUGCCUCUAACUUGCCAUUACCUAAUAAGAAUAGGAUGAACAGAAUCAUGCACAUACUUUUGAACAGAUACAGUAGAGGAGUUGUGAUUUUAUAUGUGUGCAUGUGCCUGUAAAUUCAGAAAACUGCUUAACAUAAAUAUAGGCAUUUUGUGAAGAUAAAUCUACAUGUUAAAAACAUAUUAUGCUUAGGCACAGUUGAACAUGUAAAGGUGACAAUUUGUUAUGUUCUGAAUUUUGACAUUUUGAACGCUUAGUGAAACAAAGGAGGAAAUCUUACAUGCACAUGUACUGGUACAACUGUAACAAGUAUGGAAUCACAACUUCUCUUGUCUGUGUAAGAGCACAGACCCCUUACAGUAAGUGCAUUUAUCCUAGGUCGUCUCUGCCUGUCUUCUUAGCUGAAUAGGGAGAGAGCAGAUCUACAGGUCAUGUGGUCAUGAGACUGGUCCCUAGGAGAGGCAUAGUUAUGUUUUCCCUGGUAUUUUGUGUCUGAAUAUCAUUUUGUCCUCCACGAAUGUUUCAUGUGGAGAAGUUGUAGCUACAUGUGGGGAACAUGUUAGUACUGGAACAGAAUUCACUUGUUAAGUUAACUUCCUGCCAUUACAUAACCAAAAUACUGUUGAAAAAUGUGAAGAAGUAUGUGCUGAAAUAAACAAUUCGAUCAUGGUUUUGGUUAAGGCAUAUUUAGCAACUGGUUGUAAACCAGGGGCAUACUACAAGCAUGAUAUACUGCCAAUUUCAGAAAAGCUCGCCGAAUGGGCGUUUACAUCAAACGCAUGUAGUAAAUGACGUAGCUGUCACUCUAGUUAUCAGUGAGAGGAUCACGCGUGUAGUUUGCUCCGCCCAAAAGUGUAUUUCUAUCGAUCGCAGUGGUUUAAAAUGUACAAAAAACGAUGUAAAGGGUUAGGUACAAAAGUAAAAUAUUGCGGGAAUUUAUUUCAAGAUAAUCCUGCAUAAUGCGUACAUACUUGUGCAUGACACGUCCGCAGCAUAUACACAUAAAUUAUUUAGAUUAAAGAUUUGAACUGUCUGAGGAUUGACACUGAUGUACUCUAAACGAAAUACAACAAAACUUAUUAUUUCUUAGUUCGAUUCUUUCAAACCAAAUCAUUCGGAGAAGUAACAACAAACACUGUGAUGUAUUGAGUUGCAAUAUAGCCCCAAGGUAAUUUUAUGACGGAUAUCUUUCAACACCCCUGGGCUUAUCAAGGAUACAUACAAUACUCCAACACCACUCAUUGAGUACACUCAAAUAAAUUGCCUAACGGUCACGUCUUUACUCAGGAAAGAUUCCAUUUGUAUUCAUAAAGGUGAGUGACAGUCGAGCCAACUCUCAAGAGUGAG